ACAGAUCACAUGGGGAUCUUGUCAAAAUGCAGAUUCGGAUUUAGGAGUUCUGAGGCAGAGGCUGAGAUUCUGCAUUUUUAACAAGUUCCCAGAUGUCACUGCU
rnacentral:miRNA from 1 species